rnacentral:rRNA from 1 species
GGGUCAGUAGGUUGGUCGUGCCACCGGUACGUACUGGUCUCACUGAUUCCUCCUUCCUGAAGAACCGUAAUGCCAUUAAUUUGGUGUUGCGGGGAAACAGGACUGUUACUUUGAAAAAAUUAGGGUGUUUAAAGCAAGCUAACGCUUGAAUACAUUAGCAUGGAAUAAUGAAAUAGGACGAUCGAUCCUAUUUUGUUAGUUUCUAGGAUUGACGUA